UACGUAGGGGGGCAAGCGUUGUCCGGAUUCAUUGGGCGUAAAGAGCGUGUAGGCGGCCAGGUAGGUCGGUUGUGAAAACUGGAGGCUCAACCUUCAGAGGUCGACCGAAACCAUCUGGCUAGAGUCCGGGAGAGGAGAGUGGAAUUCUUGGUGUAGCGGUGAAAUGCGUAGAUAUCAAGAGGAACACCUGAGGUGAAGACGGGUUGCUGGGCUGACACUGACGCUGAUGCGCGAAAGCUAGGGGAGCAAACGGG
rnacentral:rRNA from 1 species